rnacentral:rRNA from 1 species
UACAGAGGUCUCAAGCGUUGUUCGGAUUUACUGGGCGUAAAGGGCGCGUAGGCGGCGUGGUAAGUCAAUUGUGAAAUCUCCGAGCUUAACUCGGAACGGUCAAUUGAUACUGCUGUGCUAGAGUGCAGAAGGGGCAAUCGGAAUUCUUGGUGUAGCGGUGAAAUGCGUAGAUAUCAAGAGGAACACCUGAGGUGAAGACGGGUUGCUGGGCUGACACUGACGCUGAGGCGCGAAAGCUAGGGUAGCAAACGGG